GAGGGGAGAGAAAGAAAAAGAAGAGAAAAGAAAAAGAAAAGAAGGGAAGAAAAGAAAAAAGGAAAAAAAUUGGGAAAGAGAAAUUAGUUGGGCAAAAGAAAAACUGGAUGGCAGGCUGGCCUUCAACAUGUACUGAGGUCCUCACUAUGAGCCAAUGGAAGAGAUGAAAAACAAGAAUAGGAUGAGAUAUCUAAAUUUACAACAAAGCAGGGUGAAAGCUGGUUAAUGGAGAUCAGAAUUCUGGGGUUCUCUGCUAGCCUCAGUGACCACCAAUGUCUACCACCAAACUUCUGAUUCAGGAGAUUUGGGUGGGGCCCAAGAAUCUGAAUUUCCAACAAGUUCCCAGAUGAUGCCGAUGUCACUGAUCUGAGGACACUUGGAGACCCACUGCCAGAAGAUGGAACCCGUCUAUACAUAGCAAAUUUUGUUACUUUGACUUGCCGGCUGCUCCCUGCCAACCACCGUAUGUAUCUUUUAAUUAAGUAGAAAAGAGAUCUUAAAAGCUCACAUAAGCCUAGGAAACU